AUAUGAGAUAAGAAAUAAAAUCGAACCGGCUGAACUCGCUUGCAGCGUAUACCUAGAUCAAUUUUAUACAGAUAUUUUCACGAGAAUAACAUAAUUUUACUUAUUUUCAAGAACAGAGCGCUUUUACGUGAUUGAUUAUAUAAUAUACUCAUAUACACCCGAGUAUAUUAUACUAGUACGUAUUAAUCACUUUUGUAAUAAUUUAAAAAUUCCAAUUUAAAUUACUGGCCUUUAUUUGCAAAACGUGGAAGUAGUCUUUAACUUAUGUACUAAGAGAUAAGAGUCCUUAGAAGAGUUUAUCAUUAACUGGAAACCUCACAGCACCUGUGGCCUUUGACAGCCUUUCAUUCAAAGGUAAUAAAUAUAGGUGAUAAGUGCGGCAGAAUGCUACCAAAGCUAAUUUCACUCGUACGAUCGCAACCAGAGAUAAAUUCUAAUCAAUUUAAAGUGACGCUAAUUAAUAACGAGCACAAGGAAGUGCAAUAUAUUCAAUGUGAUGAUUUAACCGUUCCUUCCAAGAACUACAAGGGAUAUUUUGAUACCCUAAUUUUAAAGUUGUCAACACAUUUUCCGACACUUCCAUCUUCACACACCGAGUUGAAAUUGACGUGGACUGACCAACAGAAUGAUAAUAUAACUAUCAAAGAUGAUAAGGAUUUAGUCGUGGCGCUUCAACAAAUGAAAGAUUUGAAGGUUUUCAAGCUGUAUAUGACAAAAGCAGCAAAAAAACUUGAUGAUGAUCUGCCUGAGGGCAGAUUACGAUUACAACAUUCAUUUAAUAUAAAUGGUGUUUGCGACAACUGCAAUUGCAAUAUUACUCCAUUUCGCUACAAGUGCCUUCAAUGCAGCGAUUAUAAUUUGUGUAAAAAGUGUUAUAAAAGCAAAGUACAUGAUUGUCAUAAUAUGAUGAGCAUUACUUUAGAUAUUCCUGAUCUUCACAAUAUGCACCCCAUGUAAAAAUAUAACAGAUAUAAAUACAGCAUGAAGCCAUGAAGAAAUAAAGUUCGAUGAUUCUAAAAUAAA